rnacentral:lncRNA from 1 species
CGUAGAUGCCCUGGGGGGUGUGACUGUUGAUGCUGUCAUUCUCGUGGAGCCCAGCGGACGGUGGACGGUGUACACGUGGCUCUAUCCCGAGGAGCCGGCAGUCCCUGGGGCUUCGCACUGUCCAGGACCAGUGAGGGAACAGUACGCAGGCUCAUGGUCUGCUGUUGUUCUCUUACCCAUUCAGCCAAUCCAGAUAGACGCCUUCUGUUUGCAAGGCUCUGUUGGAGCACUGAGCGCCAGAGAGGGCAGUGGGCGAGCUCGGAAGCACGGGCUUCGCGGCUGGGAGGAGGGCAGUGUACUUCCUCAUCCAAGAAUAUGAGAACAUGUCUCUGUUCUGAAUCUUCCUGUCCUGAAAUAUUCUGCCAGACACCCAGGUUAUGGCUCUUGGAGGCAAGACAGACCAGUCCACAGCCCCCUGGACAUUGGCGCAUGCCCGUGAGGAAGACGCAUGACUAA